rnacentral:rRNA from 1 species
AUGCCUGUAGUACGCACAGGCUGUAGUCAUUGGCUUGACAAAACAGUUGUGCAGGUAAGCUCACUUAUGGGCUGCUCCGAGCUGGUGGAUGAGAUCAAGCCUCGCUGGUUGUCCAACAGAAAAAGGGUUCCGGUGGGCUGCAGCGAAAUGCACCUGCAGAUAUAUUGGGAAGCCAUUCCAUCUAACUGUCCGUCCUUCAUGGAUAUCAUUACUGAAUUAGAGGUUUCCGGCAGCAGAUCAGAAGCAAGCAUGAAGAUGCUGUGGAGACAAGCCAAGAAGAAGGAACCGUCCAGGCAAUGCAGAGUGGCCCCUCUGCUCAUACUCCAUGACAGUUCUUCCCAUUAA